ACCCAGCUGGCUCAGUCGGUGGAGCAUGUGACUCUUGAUCUCGGGGUUGUAAGUUCGAGCCCCACAUUGGGUG
rnacentral:tRNA from 1 species